UACGAAGGGGGCUAGCGUUGCUCGGAAUCACUGGGCGUAAAGCGCACGUAGGCGGUCUUUUAAGUCAGGGGUGAAAUCCUGGAGCUCAACUCCAGAACUGCCUUUGAUACUGAGAGACUUGAGUCCGGGAGAGGUGAGUGAAACUGCGAGUGUAGAGGUGAAAUUCGUAGAUAUUCGCAAGAACACCAGUGGCGAAGGCGGCUCACUGGCCCGGUACUGACGCUGAGGUGCGAAAGCGUGGGGAGCAAACAGG
rnacentral:rRNA from 1 species